UAAGGUUUAAACUCAAAGGGCUUGGCGGUGUUUUAGACCACUCAGGGGAACCUGUCUCAUAAUCGAUGAUCCACGUUAAACCUGACCUUUUUUUGCAUUCAGCUUGUAUACCGUCGUCGUCAGGUAACUUCUAAAAAAUUAAAAGUUAGCGAAAGAAUUAAUAAAUUAUAAUGUCAGAUCAGGGUGCAGCUCAUAAAAAGGGGAGGAUGGGUUACAAUUAUAAAUUAUAAUUACGGAAGACUGUUUGAAUUAAUAGAUCUGAAGGAGGACUUGAAAGUAAUUUUAAAUAUAUAAAUUAUAUGAAUAAGGCUCUGAAAUGUGCACAUAUCGCCCGUCGCUCUCGUUGAAAAAUGAGAUAAGUCGUAACAUAGUAGGGGUAAUGGAAAUUGCCCCUGGUUG
rnacentral:rRNA from 1 species